GGGAUUGCCCUAGUAACGGCGAGUGAAGCGGCAACAGCUCAAAUUUGAAAUCUGGCGCAAGCCCGAGUUGUAAUUUGUAGAGGAUGCUUCUGGGCAGCGACCGGUCUAAGUUCCUUGGAACAGGACGUCAUAGAGGGUGAGAAUCCCGUAUGUGACCGGCCCGCGCCCUGCACGUAGCUCCUUCGACGAGUCGAGUUGUUUGGGAAUGCAGCUCUAAAUGGGAGGUAAAUUUCUUCUAAAGCUAAAUACCGGCCAGAGACCGAUAGCGCACAAGUAGAGUGAUCGAAAGAUGAAAAGCACUUUGGAAAGAGAGUUAAACAGCACGUGAAAUUGUUGAAAGGGAAGCGCCUGCAACCAGACUUCGCGGCAGUGUUCCGCCGGUCUUCUGACCGGUCCACUCUCUGCCGCGAGGCCAUCAUCGUCUGGGCCCGCCGGAUAAGACCGUGGGAAUGUGGCUCGCCUUCGGGCGAGUGUUAUAGCCCACGGUGAUGCGGCGCGGCUCGGGCGAGGUCCGCGCUUCGGCAAGGAUGAUGGCGUAAUGGUUGUCGGCGGCCCGUCUUGAAACACGGACCAAGGAGUCUAACAUCUAUGCGAGUGUUCGGGUGUCAAACCCCUACGCGUAAUGAAAGUGAACGGAGGUGGGAACCGCAAGGUGCACCAUCGACCGAUCCUGAUGUCCUCGGAUGGAUUUGAGUAAGAGCAUAGCUGUUGGGACCCGAAAGAUGGUGAACUAUGCCUGAAUAGGGUGAAGCCAGAGGAAACUCUGGUGGAGGCUCGCAGCGGUUCUGACGUGCAAAUCGAUCGUCAAAUUUGGGUAUAGGGGCG
rnacentral:rRNA from 1 species